rnacentral:rRNA from 1 species
UACGUAGGGUGCGAGCGUUGUCCGGAAUUAUUGGGCGUAAAGAGCUCGUAGGCGGUUUGUCGCGUCUGCUGUGAAAACUGGAGGCUCAACCUCCAGCCUGCAGUGGGUACGGGCAGACUGGAGUACUGCGAGGGGAGACUGGAAUUCUCGGUGUAGCAGUGAAAUGCGUAGAUAUCAGAGGAACACCAGUGGCGAAGGCGAGUCUCGUAGACACUCCUGACACUGAGGCAACGAAAGCUAGGGGAGCAAACAGG